CAAAUACUCUCUCUGUCUCAAAAAAUUUGUCUUAAAAUUGUCUAGAUAUGAAUGUGUCUAGUCACAUUUUAGCAUUUAGAUACAUUCAUUUAUUGACAAUCCUAAGACAAAAUUUUUGGAACGGCGGGAGUAUUGA
rfam:Hordeum vulgare subsp. vulgare, WGS project CAJW01000000 data, contig: morex_contig_2552749